rnacentral:rRNA from 1 species
CUCCAGACUCCUACGGGAGGCAGCAGUGGGGGAUAUUGCACAAUGGGGGAAACCCUGAUGCAGCGACGCCGCGUGUGGGAAGACGGUCUUCUGGAUUGUAAACCACUGUCCCCAGGGACGAAAAUGACGGUACCUGGGGAGGAAGCUCCGGCUAACUACGUGCCAGCAGCCGCGGUAAUACGUAGGUGGCAAGCGUUAUCCGGAUUUACUGGGUGUAAAGGGCGUGUAGGCGGGAAAGCAAGUCAGAUGUGAAAACCAUGGGCUCAACCUGUGGCCUGCAUUUGAAACUGUAGUUCUUGAGUGUUGGAGAGGCAGGCGGAAUUCCGUGUGUAGCGGUGAAAUGCGUAGAUAUACGGAGGAACACCAGUGGCGAAGGCGGCCUGCUGGACAAUAACUGACGCUGAGGCGCGAAAGCGUGGGGAGCAAACAGGAUUAGAUACCCUAGUA